AGUAACUCCUCCAAUAGACCCUUGCGUGGAACGUUGCACUGAGAAAUAUAACAACUGCCCAAUUGGUUUCGAAUGCAGGUCAAACGGCUGUGGACACGACUGUUACCCACAGAGAUCAUUCUGCGGUCCCUUGAUGUGUGAGAUGUAUUGUCAAUUUGGUCUUUACGUAAUAGGCGGUUGUGUCCGAUGUUCAUGCAAUCCAGAUCCACUUAUCCCAUAAUUCUCAACAUCAAAAGUUGUUUUCAACGACCAAUUGGAUUGACAAAAAGGAAGUAAAUAUUCAUUUUGUUAGAUAAUUUUUAUGUCGACUGAAUCUUGUUUUAAAAAGUACCACUUGUAAACGCUCUCAUUAAAACAGAAUUUUUUUUAUUUUU
rnacentral:sRNA from 1 species